UGAAUAUUAGUUUUAACUUAAAACAGCCGCGGGUUAGAUAAGAGCACACCACACCCACAUGUGUUAUCUCCGUCUGACAAACGUACAACAUAACAAAUUUAUGUUCAGUAAUUCAAAUGUAGUGAUAUUAGCUUUAAUAGUAGAGUGAACUGGCCAAUAAUAAUACUUUAUGGGAAGAAUAUUAUUUGUGUUUAGUUAGUCGGUUUAUUCCGAUAUUUUGAUUUUUAAGCAAUUAUGAGUUUUCAUAAAUUUUAAUAUUGUACCUAAUCAUAACUCAUUUAAAAACUAAAGUAUCGAAAAAACCGACUUUUAAAACACGUAUCUCCCUAAAAGUUUGACUAUAGAUGGAGACUUCAGAUCUUCUGCGAGGACUGAUUAACUGAAUGACGGUUGAUCCAUGAACAUCUUUAGCACGACACAGGGUCCAUAUGGACGUGCCGAACUGGUCACCAGUCGUCAAGGCACAGUCAAGUGUAGCCCCGGCGGUCGCGCGUCUUCAAAAGCUCUUCCUGACGGACUCCACGCCGUGGCGGAUACGGAAGAAACCCGUUCACCAAUGGCCGGUUCGGCUGGAACGGGACAUCGUCGGUCGAACGUCUAGACCACAGUGUCGUUGACGUAGCCCUUCUACCGACCACCGGUGACCCGGCUAACUAUGGCGAUCAGCCGUAGCGAACGCUGCUGGCUCGCCGCGAUGGCCUUCCGAGCAUACGUCUAGGCUACCUUGGUCAGUGUUGUCGCGUUAUUGUAACGAACAGAUGUUUAGGUGCAAACUUCAUGUUAGCAACACUACACUAAGUGUAAAAUAUUCUUUGAAAUCUUUAUUGUUUCCACAUAAAAUGAUCCCAACAUUUACUGA